UACAGAGGUCUCAAGCGUUGUUCGGAUUUACUGGGCGUAAAGGGCGCGUAGGCGGCAUGACAAGUCACUUGUGAAAUCUCCGGGCUUAACCCGGAACUGCCAAGUGAUACUGUCGCGCUAGAGUGCGGAAGGGGCAAUCGGAAUUCUCGGUGUAGCGGUGAAAUGCGUAGAUAUCGAGAGGAACACCUGAGGUGAAGACGGGUUGCUGGGCCGACACUGACGCUGAGUGCGCGAAAGCCAGGGGAGCAAACGGG
rnacentral:rRNA from 1 species